GAAGCUAUAGCUCAGUGGUAGAGUACUUGUCUCACAUGCAUGUGGUCUUAGUUUCU
rnacentral:tRNA from 1 species